UAGCGCAGAGGUUAGCGUGUCCGCCUAUGAUGCUGAACGCCUGGGUUCGAAUCCUAG
rnacentral:tRNA from 1 species